GUGUUACUCCCUCCAUUCCAAAUUACUUGACCCAUAUUUAUCUAGACAUGAAUGUAUCUAGACACUAAACAAGUAUAGAUACAUCUGUAUUUAGACAAAUUCAAGUCAACUAAUUUGGAACGGAGGGAGUAUUAG
rnacentral:pre_miRNA from 1 species